UAUUAAUUUUUAGGUUAAAUUUUAAAUUAAUUAUAAAAUAUUAAAUUUUAUAUGAAGCUAAUAAAAUUUUAUAAUAAACUAGGAUUAGAUACCCUAUUAUAAAAAUUAAAUAUAAAAAAAAUAAGGUAGUAAUAGUUAUUGUCUUGAAACUUAAAAAAUUUGGCGGUGUUUUAGUCUAUUUAGAGGAACCUGUUCUAUAAUUGAUAAUCCACAAUAAAUUUUACUAAAUUUUGUAUAAUUUGUAUAUCGUCGUUAUCAGAAUAUUUUAAAAGAAAUUAAAUAUUCUAAAAAUUUAAUAAAAUUAUAUUUCAGAUCAAGAUGCAGUUUAUAGUUUAGAAGAAAUGGGUUACAAUAAAUUUAUUUAAAUGGAUUAUUAAUUGAAAUAUUAAUAUAAAAGUGGAUUUAAUAGUAAAUUAAAAAAUAUUUUUUAAUUGAUUAUAGCUCUAAAACAUGUACAUAUCGCCCGUCACUCUUUCUUUUUAAAGAAAGAUAAGUCGUAACAUAGUAGAUGUACUGGAAAGUGUAUCUAGAAU
rnacentral:rRNA from 1 species